rnacentral:rRNA from 1 species
AGCGUGGAGACAGGUGGUGCAUGGCUGUCGUCAGCUCGUGUCGUGAGAUGUUGGGUUAAGUCCCGCAACGAGCGCAACCCUCACCUCUUGUUGCCAUCAGGUCAUGCUGGGCACUCUAGAGGAACUGCCCCGGUCAACGGGGAGGAAGGCGGGGAUGACGUCAAGUCAUCAUGCCCCUUACGUCCUGGGCUACACACGUGCUACAAUGGCCGGUACAAAGGGAUGCCACACCGCGAGGUGGAGCUAAACCCAAAAAGCCGGUCUAAGCUCAGAUUGGAGUCUGCAACUCGACUCCAUGAAGGAGGAAUCGCUAGUAAUCGCGUAUCAGCACGACGCGGUGAAUACGUUCCCGGGCCUUGUACACACCGCCCGUCACACCACGAAAGCCUGCUGUACUCGAAGUCGCUGAG